GACGAACGCUGGCGGCGUGCUUAACACAUGCAAGUCGAACGAGUGGCGAACGGGUGAGUAAUACGUGGGUAACCUGCUCUCCUUUUGGGUUAAGCCUUGGAAACGGGGUCUAAUACCGAAUAAAGGGGGAUGGGCUAGCGGCCUAUCAGCUUGUUGGUCGGGUGAUGGCCUACCAAGGCGGUGCCGGGUAGCCGGCCUGAGAGCAUGGCAGGCGACAGAGGGACUGAGAGACGGCCCAGAGUCCGAAGGGAGGGAGCAGUGGGGGGAAUUGCACAAUGGGCGAACGCCUGAUGCAGCGACACCGCAUGGGGGAUGGAGGCUUUAGGGGUGUAAUGCUCUUUCGCAAUAGAACGGGUAGGUAGAGAAGAAGCGCCGGCUAACUACGUGCCAGCAGCCGCGGUAAUUC
rnacentral:rRNA from 1 species